UACGAAGGGGGCGAGCGUUGUUCGGAAUCACUGGGCGUAAAGGGCGCGUAGGCGGCCCUCUUUGUCGCGUGUGAAAGCCCCGGGCUCAACCUGGGAACGGCGCGCGAAACGGGGGGGCUGGAGUUCGGGAGAGGAGAGUGGAAUUCCCAGUGUAGAGGUGAAAUUCGUAGAUAUUGGGAAGAACACCGGUGGCGAAGGCGGCUCUCUGGACCGAGACUGACGCUGAGACGCGAAAGCGUGGGGAGCAAACAGG
rnacentral:rRNA from 1 species